CGUGACGUAUGCCGAGCGCGGCCGGAGUGCGCCCCGGCGGGCGGGAGAGGAGUGGGGCGCCGGGUGGGGCCGCGGGGUAGAAGGCGGGCCGGAGGAGAGGGGCGGGUGUGAGUGGCUCCCCCGGGCACGGCUCCGAGCAGAGGCUUACUGACGGAAACCAAGCGUUACCAAUGGGGACCGUGCCCGGCGUCAUAGGAGAGGGACAUUACACUCCCCUCCACCACAGAGUACUGGCGGACCAACACCAGAAUCAUGGUCCACAUCCGAUCAGCCCUGGGCCUGGGCUGUCCCAGUCUUGCAGACAGACCCACCUGCACCAGCAGCCCCCCAAUAUCAAGUAGCACUCACCACACUAUUGCAGAACCUAAAGGCAAUAGAGGAGCAGCUGAGAAGCAUGCAUCAAACUCCAUGAGACACAUGUGAUGCCAGGCCAGAUGUCUUCUCUCAUCCCCUUCACCUCAAACACAAACCAUCCUAUUAUCCAGUUUUCCUGUUGCCUGAGAACAAAAUGCACCUGCCUGAAGCAGCCGACUGAAACUAGUCUUUGGCAAGAUGGACACUUAUGUAAGUGUGGGAAGUUACUCAAAAGAAAUGGCCAUAACUACAAAAGGCAUCCUCACCUGAAGAAGUCUUCAGUGUAAUCAAAAAGGCAGUUCAUGGCUUGGGGAUUCUUCUGGACUCUGCUUCUUCUGGGUACACAAAUAACUAUAAUGGUUAGAAAUGCCUCUUAUUAGCUCCAACUGCCCAGGGGAUGCAUUCAGUCCUAUUGUAUAGAAAUCGGGCUGUGCUGAUAUAUUCCAAUGCAUUGUACCCGGAGUUGAAAGUAAAGGCUUUACACUCUAGCUGGUCAAACAUGGAGUGACUUGUCUACUAACAUAGGAUGGGUGAUACACGCACAGCAAUCCAAUGCUCCAAAACCUACAGUGACUCCCUGUCCAAAACUAGAUUCAGUUCAAAAUCCUGGUCUUGAUCUUCAAAUCUCUGAGUGAGGUGAACCCAGAUGAUCUCAGGCAUUUUUCUCUGUGAUUUAUUACAGCAAUUACAUUUACAAGGGAUGAGGUCAGUAGCAAGGAUUACGCUUGCUGCAAGAGCAAGAGGCUGAAAUGGCUGUGGAAUGCCUUUCCAUUAAAAAUGGUAAUGACCAGGGGUUUGCAACUUUCAGACACAAAUGUAAGACUCAUCUCUUUGCAAUUGCUUUCCAUAAAAAUAGCCUUAAGACUCUGCAUUGCUUCCCUGAACAUAACAAAUAAUGUAAUUUAAAACUAUUUAUGCAUACUUUAACUGAACAAAAAAGAAUAAUGAAGAGUGGAGGAUACAGUAUUUUAGAUGGACUGUUUUAUGUAGUUUUGUUAGUGCCUGGAUAUCAUGGUGAUGUCAGAUAAACUGCUAUAGAUUUCUACACAGAAGAUUACCCAAGCAUAUUCUUUGCCACAGUGAAAUAUGAAAAAUACAGGCAGACUUUUAACAAAUAAAGAAUCACGUAUCACAAACUAUAAUAAUAAUCUGGAGACAAAAGGAAAUCCAAAGAUGAACAUCUGUGCCAACCACACUAGAAACAUUAAAACUGAAAGUAAUUUCUACUUCAAUGUGCACCAUACAAAGAAGUAUAAGAAACAUACUUUCUCAAAUUAACAACUAUAGUAUGACAUUUUCCUAUUAAAAUAGAGAACAAAACCCAAGCAUAAUUCUGAACAAAAAGAAAGAGAUGGCAUUUGGUAGAAAUAGUAUCACAAUAUGUAGUGAACUUCAACCAGUAAGACCAAAUUCCAAUGAAGGUAUUUAAACUGGGCUCAAUUUUGCUAUCUGUUACAUAUGUGCAAUACAGGAAUUGCACCUGUGUAACAGAGGAAAGAACAGAACACAGUCUUCCCAUGUAACAUUUUCUGCAUUUUCAGUUGGAUGCAGUAUGCUUCAUUUCACUAAAUAUUCCUUGCAGCUGCUUAUAGGCCAUCCGGAACAAGGGAGGAGGAGCUACAGACAAAUAUUUCUUUUCACUGUCUCAAAGACUAGUCUUAACAACUAUAGUGAGGUGAUUACUGCUCUAUAUGGGGUAUCUUACUGAUCACAUCCAGACACAAAGUGUGAAAUAAAAGCUUUGUCUGACAAGAUGUGCAGUGGAAAAGGUAAAUCUUCGGUACUUAUUGGAUUUAUCCUCAUCAGUCUUGAAAUGAUUGUUUCAGCUAACACAGGUUUCUCUAUAUCCAUAUAUAAUGUGACAUCAAGAAACAUUUAUCUCAGAUGGUCCAAGUUUUCAGGAGCCUUUUCCUACAGAAUCACAGCAACCCCCAUGAACACAGUAGGCCACCCUUUGCUGGCGCACUUCAAUGAUGUUCCUGUUAUAGGCAUUCUUACUUCACUAACUCCCAACACUGUCCACACUGUAAAAGUGGAAGCCAUUGAUAAGAAUGGAAUUAUCCUGGCAGAAGCACAGACUAUGCAGUUAACAGCUCCUGAGAUACCUGCUAUUGACCAAGCUUAUUCAAAACUGAGCAACAGUAUCACAGUGGAAUGGGCAGCUGUUCCUGGGGCUACCAGUUAUUUACUGACUGCACAGGACGGAGAGUCUUUCAUUGAAACUAUAGUCAUAAAUUCACCAGGCACAGUGACAGGAUUGAAGGCUGCUACAUUGUACAAAAUCACCAUCAGAUCUAUAAACUCUGGAGGAAGAAGCCUACCUUCGCCUUCAAAGAAGGCAAAGACAGUCUUGGCUGCUCCGGUCCUGUCUGUAAGUUCUCCAAGUUAUGACUCCAUAGUGGUGAGCUGGGGAGCUGUAUAUAUGGCAGUUGGAUUCUCUGUGUCCAUCAUGAGAUCAGAUGGUUUAGGCAGUAUGAUGAAAGAGAACACCACCCAUACCUCCUUGGUAUUUACCAGUCUAGAUCCAGGAACUCUCUAUACCAUCAAGGCACAUGCCUGGAAUGUUAAUGGGAUACCUGGAGAUGAUUUCACGUACAACCAAAUAACAAGUCCUCAUGCACCAUCAGAUGUUCAAGUUGCUUUUGAUAGUGGAACUUUGAGGGCCACUGUUUCUUGGAUACCGACAGAGGGAACUUUAAAUUACAGUGUGACAGCCAGCAGUGGAGCCUCCGAACUGAACUGUAGCACAUCUUCCACUUCCUGCACUUUGUCUUCACUCCAGUGUGGUUCUGAAUACUCUGUUUAUGUCAUAGCAAAUAAUGGUGCUGGAUCCAGUAAACCUACAGAUGCAGUGAGUUUAAAAACUGUCCCUUGUGCACCAGGAAGUAUAACAAUAGAAGAGGACAACCCUGGUAAAUUGUCAGUCUCAUGGUCUAAUGUAGAUCUUGGAGAUUAUUAUGUGGUUUUUGUGAAAAGCGAUGAUGGCUUGGAAGUGCACUGCAACACAUCCCAUACCCAAUGCCACUUCCAAUCAGAUUGUGGUUUCACUUACUUCAUUAGUGUCUUCGCAUAUAACAAGGCAGGACAGAGUCCUUUAGGGGAUGUACUCAAUUAUACUACUGCACCUUGUUGCCCCAGUGACUUUUACCCAGUGUUUGUGUCCAGCGAUACAGUUGAGAUUGUCUGGUCUCCUGUCCGUGGUGCUGAAAUGUAUGAAACAAAAGCUGUUGAUGGGGUUGGUGUAGUAUUGUGUAAUGACACUGCCACAAUUUGCAUCCUGUCUGCAUUGCAAUGUAACACCCAAUAUAACAUCACUGUGUAUUCUUACAGUGAAAUCAGGGGCAGCAAUACAUCAUGUGUAUCUAAAUAUGUGGCAACAGCUCCAUGCAGUCCUGAAAUAAAAAACGUCUCACAGGAUGAUCUUUCCAUAAUUAGUGUACACUGGCAGGCCAAUAAUGAUGAAACUAUAUACACUGUUACUGCUAGAGGAGAGGCUGGAUUGUGGCAUUGCACAAGUUCCGGAAAUUCCUGUAGCAUAACUGAUCUUCCCUGUGGAUCAGUUUUCUCAGUUAGUGCUGUGGCAAUUACAACAGCAGGACAGAGCUUACCUAGUUACAGUGUCCCUUUAGAGACAGCUCCUUGUUGCCCUAAUGAUCUGACAGUAACUCAAGUGAUGCAGUCUAUAACAAAUAUCAGCUGGUCGGUUGGGGCUGGUGCAAAGACAUACAUAACAAUACUGGAAUCACCAAAAGGACUGGCCAAGUGCCACACACUUCAAAACCACUGUCUCCUGGGAUGCAUUACAUGUGGCACCACCUAUACAGUGUCUCUGAAAGUGAUUAGUGAAACUGGUUUGGCCUCAGACUGCACAUAUCAAGACUAUUCUUCCAGUGCUUGCUGUCCUUCUGGGGUGAAAUUAUAUAGACUGCGCAAUAAUGGUAUCCGAAUAUACUGGCGAGCUUCUGCAGGGUUGAUAAAGUAUAGUACAGAUCUAUAUGGAUCAAAAGGCAAUUUCACCUGUACCCCUACUUCAGGUUUGAGUUAUUGUGAUGUCACCGAGAUACCUUGUGGGGAUGUCUAUACAGUGGUAGUUUCUCCAGUUCCUGAGAAAGGAUCAAAGCUUACAUUUUGCCCUAAAAAAAUAUAUUCAGUGACCUGCUCUGGAAGUUCUGUUGGAAUGGGUAUGAGAAUGCUGUCAGCGUUUCACCUCUCAUGAAAAUGGUGGUUCUAGUGAGAUAUGUUUCUCUUAGAAUGAAAAGUACUUUACUUUAAAAUAACAUUUUCUGGCAGGAGGACUCUCUUAAUUCUAUCAAAGAUAAAACAUUUACUCCCAACAUAAUAUGUAUUACAACUUCUGUAAGUUACAUUGUAUGAGACAUAUAUACCAUGGCCUAGAUAGAUCCUCAGCUAGAGCUAAGAAGCACACAGUAUGACUCAGGAGGGAGUGUGCAAAGAUGGAUUUGGUCCCCUCAUGUUGGGGCUGCUCUGUGCCAAUCCAGUCCUCCAGUGUAAGUCAGAACAGCCAGAAGGCUGCUGUUAAGUACAAUGCCUGCCAAAGGCCCCAAAGGGUUCUUAUAACAGCCAGGGAUUGCUAAGGUCCAGGGGAAUCCUAGCCAUGUCCAUUUUCUCCUGGCCACAGCCCCUACUACAGUUGUAAGAGGGAGGUUGGCAAAGCAGCUGUAUGUCAGCUCUAGAAAACCAGAGGAUUCCUGAAUAUGGUAUUCACCCUGUGCAAAAAAUGACUUAAACCAGUGAGAGAAUCUGGCCUUACACAUAUGUCCAAGUGGGAUCCAUGAAAUUAACUGGAGACAUAACAGCACAGACACGUUAUACAUUUAUCUUGUGUCUGUUUGUCCAGUGCCUAAUAAAAUGCAAAUUUUUAACAGUGAGUAAAAACUAUUGGAACAUCUUACCUGAGGUUGUGGUAUUCUCUCACUUAAAGUCUUUAAAUCAAGACUGGAUGUCUAACUUUUCAAAAUUCUGAGGAGUUUCAACCAGCCACAAACAAAAAAAACAUGUCAGGGAAAUAGUUCAUAGUUGUUCCCCAAAUGUGCAAUUCACACCCCCAAAUUACACUUCUUUGAGGCCCAGGAGAGGCAAGAUUCAGCUUUGAGCUACUAGCAGCAUUUUCUAAAUGCCACAGCUGUGAAGUUUGAGCCCUCACAGCCUUACAGAGGAAGAAACAAGAGCUCUAUAUCAUUAAGGAGAUUUUCUCCUUUCUAAUCAGAACCAGCACUUACCUCUGCCCUUCCAGGGUUAGAGACAUUACACUUUAAAGUUGUGUCAGCUUUAUAUACAGAAAAGUUAUUUUACACCACUUUUGGAGAUGGCUUCCUUUGAGCCUUGCAGAGUUGGAUUCUUGGCAGCUAGCUUUACAGGCAUAGGGUUACCAAAAAAUGGUCCUAAUUUUGUAAAACUCACAAACACAUUCCCAAAAUAUUUUUUCUCCAACAUAUGCGGCACAUACAGAACUCGUGAUUGGUGUGGUGUGGUAUAAAGGUUUUACUGGUGUUUAGUUGAGGAUGGUGCCCAUCUGUGGCUUCACCCCUCUUGUGUAUUGGGACCAUUCCAAACUCAUUCAGAUAAAGCCUUGUUAACACAGCACAAAAUCAUAUAUUUUUAAACUAAAAAUAGACUUAAGUGGGACUCUAAUCACCACCUACACAGAUAAAUAGCUAUCUCUAUAUAUCUUGAAAAAUUAGAUUAUGAGUGUUUUACAGAUAUUACCUAUAUUUUGGCCUGCAGCCAUACCACAUCAGGCUGUUAUCUCACUAGUUCUUACAAGCCAAGCAGUGUGAGGCCUAGUCAGCACUUCGAUGGAAGACCUUGAAAAACAGAGUGCUACUGGAAGGGUGUAAGGAACAUUAUACCCUCUGAAUCUGUACUGUCCCAGUGGCCCAGCAUGGUGCUACAAGACUUUUAUGCUCUUGCAUGAGACCUAAAAGUGAGGUCUGAACCACUCAGUCAGCAAAGAGCCCAUGGAACUUUUUGAAAGUGUGUGUUCUAUCUUUUAGAGCCUGGCCAAGUUAAAAUUAAUUAAAUUUAGCUAUAUUGUUCCACUGAUUUUUGAAGCACCACUUACUUUCCGCUAACAAAUUGGUGACAUUGUAUGGUCCAUUCUAAGUUUUUUGUGUGGUUUCAAAUGAAUAGAAUCUUUCCAUUCAAUUUCCUGACUGAAACUGCUGGGGACACCUGCAUAAGCAACUUAUUCAAAUAAACAUUUCUUGUGUGUGUUUGUCAUUUUUUUUCUCACUUGAAUUUGUCUAACCCUCUGAAUUUUUGUUGUAGUGAUCUAUAGAGGAAAGAGAAGUCCAGAAUAACAUUUUUCUGGAUGGAAUCAUUGGUUCAGACAAGCAGAAUACAGCUAUGCAACUCCAUCGGGCACAUGAAUCAUCACUUCAGGUCACUUACACAAAACAAUCAGAUGGAACAUUCUGACACUUCAUAACACCAGUACUAAAAUAUUGUCUCUUAAUAAAAAGGAUUUUUGUUCACUGUCAAAUACAAGUUUCCCUCUUUAGGAAUUUUUUUUUAAAUAAAUGAAUUGCACUACUUACUAAGAAACAGCUAGUUUUUAUUUCCAAUUUAGGGUUUGAAAAGGUAUGAGAAUGUAGAAAUUAGCGUUGUUCUGUUUGCAACUCCCCCCAAACAGGUUUUAAUGCAGUAGGUUUCUCUUUAUAGUCAUAACAGCAUUUUCAAACAUGGGUCCCUAAACUUAGUCAUGUACAUAGGUGGUCUUGAGCCUGCUUUUCCGGUCCUAAGCAAUCAGUUUCUAAUGAGGUCAGGGCCAAACAUGGGCUGUAGCUUUUAUCUGGCAUACAAACAACUAUUUGUAAACUAAUUGGUACACUAAUUGUAAGUGAAUAACUUUAUGAUGGUCCUUGAUAAAAAUCAAAUUAAUUACAUUGAAUCAGAACCACCAGCUGCAUAAGAUUUGCAUAUCUUAAUUACAUAUCAGCCCUCAUUAAACUCAAGCAUACUUAAUAGAAGACUGUUUAAGAGAAAAUGAGCUAACUUUAAUUAAAUAUGUAGGUUUCGAAUAGCUACAAACAGCAACAUAAUUGCACCCAGUUGUAUAAACUUACUCUUUAAGAAAUGAAGGUUAUUCACCUGUAAGCAGAGUUUUUCAAGAUUGAAUAUAUGUAAAGUCUUACUCCCCACUCAUGUCAACUCCUAAUUAAAUCAGACUUGAGGCAGCUGGGGCACAAUGCUUCCUUUUAUAGCCCUGCCUUCAGAACUUUCAGGAAUAUCAAAGGGGGGAGAGGGCAAGCACUCAGGUACUACUGUUAAAAGGUUCCACCAUCAAGGCACCCUAUGACUGGAAAUAUGCGGAUUCCAUUUCUAACAACUACUGUACGUAACCAUUGGGUUUGGGGUUUUUUCAUCCGGUGCAUACACUAUGGAGUCCUCGUCUACUGUGUCCCAUUCUUUCUAUCUGUUACUUCUAUCUAUUAUAGAAGGGCAGUAUAUAUAUCUGCAAAACCUCUUGCUAGAGUAGGCCCCAAUACUGAAAGAUUACCUGAGCCGCACCUAAGUCAGUGGGGUUCUGUGCAACUCAUUUUUUUAAAAUCUAGGCCUUUCAAGACAAAAUUGGCAGGGCUCACCAAACCAUUAACCUAGAUUUGGGGGAGGGAGGAAGAAGGAUGUUUAAAGAAGCCAGGCAUUUGAACGUGUCUGCCAAAUCUUCCAAGAACAGAGUACAGAAGUACAGACAGUGGGACAAAUCCUGCUCACUAGGCACUAUUCACAUGAAUAAGUUAAACAACAGUUGGCUCCUUGUUGCUCCACAUUACUUGCACUUUGUGGUUCUUUAUGCUGUAUAAACACACAAGGUUUUUCUUGCCUUUUUACAGCAGAAAUUUAGUUGAGUCUAGAAGACUUUUUGAUAAUGGGACAACCGGUACAGGAUUAGGGCAUCAUAAAUACACAGAUAAUGAAACCUGAUGGGAGCGAUCUUUAUUCAAGCCACUUAAAACCAUUUGCCUUUAACAGCAAUUUAAAAUACACUUGAGGGAAAAAAAGAAAAAAAGAUUUGUUAAGGUUUCAAACCCUCACUCACCCUAAAUGUUGAGUAAGCUCCCACUACAUGCUUCUGAGAUGUCCCCAGAAGUCCUCCAGUGAAAACAAAGAAUUUAUAUUCCAGCUAUUUACCAAGCCAGCUGAAAUACAACAAACAAAAGUAGUGGGAGUUAACACUGGCUAUGUCCCUUCCACACAUGGCAGGACAGCCCAGGCUUAGCUAAUGUGGCCAAUGGAAACACGGUUCCUUGAGAAGUCAUGGUGCCAGUAAGGUGGCACAAAGAGAUAAGUCUGUAUAUGGCUAUAUAAGAACUGGGUAUUAAUGUGUGCUUGUAAUUUUGAUUCCCUUGGGUUCAGCUGGGUUUGGAGAACCUGCAUUUUCCAAAACCAUUCCCCUUUUAAGUGAGGUAUUACUCAGAAGCACUAUCAUAUUUGCUUUGCAGAAUUGUUUUGCCCUCCUUCCUUUUCUCUCCCACAGGUUUUACCAGGGAAGGAUAUGAUACUGCAUAAAGGACGGCAGGAUUUAUCUGUAGUAUGUUUAUCUGUUCUAGGUUUGGCAAGGGUUCAACUUCUAUACCUUUCCCCAAUUUACAUUAACCAUUGUAUUAGGUGGCAUUUCAUCUAUUGGAAGAACUGCUUGAAAUUUACUACUUGCCACACAAACAUAAGAAAUUACUGCAUUAAAGGAUUUAACUCUAGGCAUUUAGACCACACUAAUCACUGAAUUUUUAACUGAAAAAUACUAUGCUUAUUGUAUACAGCACUGUACUGAUACUCUCAGAGGAGAAAAUUCCCCAUCAUUACUGGACACCAAUCACUAAACUAGACAGUUAAACAGCAACCUCAGACUUAGAAGAGAAUUCUUCCCAAUUUUCUUCAGCCAGAGGGAUGCCAACUGAAAAACAGGGUUCUGAGCACAUGGGAAUCAAGUCAUGAAAACAGAAAGCUUCUCAGACAUCACUUUCUUUUCUCUUCCAUCCUCCCAGAUACACACUGUUUGCAUUAAUAAAGUAAAGGUUCUAUGGUAUGGCAUGCCAGGUCAAGAUUCUGAAUCUAAGUGUAAUGCUUGUUCUCAUAUGCUCAGCAACCAAAAGGGCAGCUGAGAGCUAUUGCCCAACUAUAGUCUUCUUGCAUUUGCUGGUGGUCUGCAGAGGAGACUCAGAGGGUGACAGCUCUUAAGUAUCAUUAAGACUACUAAAAUACACUUAACAUUUUUUUCCAUGCAAGAAAACUUUAGUUGGCACAAGAUGAUUAUGAUCACAUGUGGAAGGGGAGAUUAUCCAUAAGAAUCUCUAUUAAAAUGUGAAUCCAAAAUCUGAGAAAUGAAAGAACGCGUGAGGCUGCACUUUUAGAAGUUUGGGUAUAUUUGCAUGUUCGCUUGAAAGCAAAAGUUGAGGAUUUUAUUCACAUUUACAUGGAAGAUUGUUACUGCUGAUGGUUACAAAGGAUAUAGUAUUUCUCUGUCAAUGAAUCAGCAUGCAGUGUUGUUAAGUUACAAAGCAGCAUAGGUUUUCACCUCUGAAAACUUAAGCCACUAUUUACUUCUGGCUACAGCCAAACCAUCCACAAAACUUUUAUCCACCAUAUGAAAUAUCCAGCUCACUAUGAUUGAGAUAAUCUACACAGAAGAAUCACAGGACUAUAACAUUAGGAGCAAGGCAGCAGUGGCUGAGUUGUGGAAGAGGCACCAUAGACCUACCUGCUCCUUGAUCACCCAGUGCUACCAGUUUUUCACUCAACUAUGUAACCCUGCAACUCUCAGUCUCCUUAUUUUCGAACUUCAUCCACUUGUUGUUUUCAUUCAUUACAUCAUAUCUCAAGUCAGACUGUAAGCUCCACAGGCAGGGCAUGUACUUAUUUGUCAGAAGUACCCACCAUAAUAUGUCUGUAUUACUGAAUGAAAUUUGAAGAGUCACAUUAUUUAACCAAAUAUUAACAACAGAAAUCUGGUCUCAAUCAGCACAGCCAAGGAGGAAAAUAAAUGGAAAGAUGUGUUAACAGACUUAUCUACUAAGCCCCAUAUCCAAUUCACUAAGAGAAGUAAAACUUUUUGCAAAGAACCAGGCACUACUGAGAUCAGUAUAAAUGAGGAGUAACAGUCAAUCAUUUAAAACCAAGUAUCUGAACUACCUUCUACAUUUGUGUUGCUAACCCUUCCCACCCCAUAAAGCAAACAGAAACUAAAGUAAUCAAAAUUGCAAAUAAGAUGCUGAUCAUACAUUCAUUUUCUGACAGAACACAUUUGGGGCUUAUUGUUUGUUUGUUUUUAAAGCAAGAGGAAAAGAUAGAGGGCAACAGCAGUCUGGGUUUUCUACUGCAGUGGAUACUCUCACACCCCAUACAAGUUUCUCCCCAAACUCCAAUUUCAAGCUCAAUUACCUAUCGGUUUAAAAAAAAUCACGUAAGGGAGUAGCACCUCAAUACUAGAAAGUGUUUCUCUGCUGCUGGGGGGAACACCAGGAAGAACAACAAUACAUUUAGAAUUAAAGGUGACCAGAAAAAAAAAAUUGAGCUUGAGCUACCUUUGCUUCUUUAAUACAGAAACGAGCUGAUUUUUUUCCUCCAAAAUAUUUUCUUUUUGCCUUAGUAAUUCAGGCACUCGCUAUUUAUUCUGCAAGAUCAGGGACAACUAGAAAGUUGUUUUACUACAGUAAAUUAAUUUAACUAGAUUUAUUGACAUAUACUAUGAAAGAAAGAACAGGAGAAGGAAAGUGACUGCAUUAAACACUUGUUUAAACUUAAUACCUAGAAGUGCUACAUCAUACAAAAGCAAAGGGAGGGGAGCGGACGACACAAACCUCUUCUUUCACCCUCAGGUCACUCAAACCACCAAUGAUCCACAUUUCAACAGUCUUAAACCCUGAGUUAACCAGAUUAGUCUUUAUACAUUGACCUAUUACUUUGAAGUCCCAGUCCAUACACAGUAUCAUUUUCCUUUAGAGCAAGGCAUAAAGAAAUCCACACAUACAUCUUUUCAACUGGCAAUGAACAUACGGGGAAAAGCUGACACCCAGCACAAAGGAGUUAAUCCAGUGUUUAUUCCAGACUGAUGGUUCUCCUCACUCAAUAUACAAGACAUCAGAACAACCUACCAAGCAGAACUGGACUUUUAUUAUAUGAUUUUUCCAUAGUGCAUUUUGGUAUUACCUCCUACUAGCUAAUCUGUU